CUUAGCUCGAAUAACCAGUUGCAGGCCUAGGCAGCCUCAGUGGAAGAGAAGUGAAGAUGGGUUGAGAAGUGAAGAGUCUGAUUCACCUGGUGAUUCUUUAAGAGACAUUCAAGAUUUAUCUUUGAAGCUUUCAUUGGAUGGAGACAAAAAUGAAAGUGGAACUCUUGAUAAUUCUCCAGAUAUUGAGGAAAAUGCUGCAGAUGGGAAGGACAUGUUAGGCAGAAAUGUUUUGACAUUGUCAAAAGGUGCUAUAAGAGGUGCACAGAAUGAAUCAACAGAGAAAGUGGACAAAAAUGUUAGCAGUAGCAAAUUUUCAUCGCUGAGGAAGAGGAAACACAUUUUUGUUAUUGCAGUAGAUGGUGAUACAACGUCAGAUUUUCUUGAAACUGUUAAGAUUGUUGUUGAGGUAUCAAUGAAGGAAAACUCAAU
rnacentral:misc_RNA from 1 species